GAAGGCCUUUUGGUUGUAAAGCACUUUAAGCGAGGAGGAGGCUACCGAGAUUAAUACUCUUGGAUAGUGGACGUUACUCGCAGAAUAAGCACCGGCUAACUCUGUGCCAGCAGCCGCGGUAAUACAGAGGGUGCAAGCGUUAAUCGGAUUUACUGGGCGUAAAGCGCGCGUAGGUGGCCA
rnacentral:rRNA from 1 species